AGAGUUUGAUCCUGGCUCAGGAUGAACGCUAGCGGCAGGCCUAACACAUGCAAGUCGAGGGGUAGAGUUAGCUUGCUAACUUGAGACCGGCGCACGGGUGCGUAACGCGUAUGCAAUCCACCUUAUACUAAGAGAUAGCCCAGAGAAAUUUGGAUUAAUACCUUAUAGUAUAUUUGAAUGGCAUCAUUUAGAUAUUAAAGAUUUAUCGGUAUAAGAUGAGCAUGCGUCCCAUUAGUUAGUUGGUGUGGUAACGGCACACCAAGACGAUGAUGGGUAGGGGUCCUGAGAGGGAGAUCCCCCACACUGGUACUGAGACACGGACCAGACUCCUACGGGAGGCAGCAGUGAGGAAUAUUGGUCAAUGGAGGCAACUCUGAACCAGCCAUACCGCGUGCAGGAUGACGGUCCUAUGGAUUGUAAACUGCUUUUGUACGGGAAGAAAACCUGCUACGUGUAGCACAUUGACGGUACCGUAAGAAUAAGGAUCGGCUAACUCCGUGCCAGCAGCCGCGGUAAUACGAAGGAUCCAAGCGUUAUCCGGAAUCAUUGGGUUUAAAGGGUCCGUAGGCGGUAGAGUAAGUCAGCGGUGAAAGUUUGCAGCUUAACUGUAAAAUUGCCAUUGAUACUGCUUUACUUGAAUUACUUAGAAGUUACUAGAAUAUGUAGUGUAGCGGUGAAAUGCUUAGAUAUUACAUGGAAUACCAAUUGCGAAGGCAGGUAACUAUGAGUUAAUUGACGCUGAUGGACGAAAGCGUGGGUAGCGAACAGGAUUAGAUACCCUGGUAGUCCACGCCGUAAACGAUGGAUACUAGCUGUUUGAACUUCGGUUUGAGUGGCUAAGCGAAAGUGAUAAGUAUCCCACCUGGGGAGUACGCACGCAAGUGUGAAACUCAAAGGAAUUGACGGGGGCCCGCACAAGCGGUGGAGCAUGUGGUUUAAUUCGAUGAUACGCGAGGAACCUUACCAGGGCUUAAAUGUAGAUUGGCAGAUUUGGAAACAGAUUUUUCUUCGGACAAUUUACAAGGUGCUGCAUGGUUGUCGUCAGCUCGUGCCGUGAGGUGUCAGGUUAAGUCCUAUAACGAGCGCAACCCCUGUUGUUAGUUGCCAGCGAGUCAUGUCGGGAACUCUAGCAAGACUGCCAGUGUAAACUGUGAGGAAGGUGGGGAUGACGUCAUAUCAUCACGGCCCUUACGUCCUGGGCCACACACGUGCUACAAUGGCCGGUACAGAGAGCAGCCACUUGGCGACAAGGAGCGAAUCUAUAAAGCCGGUCACAGUUCGGAUCGGAGUCUGCAACUCGACUCCGUGAAGCUGGAAUCGCUAAUAAUCGGAUAUCAGCCAUGAUCCGGUGAAUACGUUCCCGGGCCUUGUACACACCGCCCGUCAAG
rnacentral:rRNA from 1 species